rnacentral:rRNA from 1 species
UACGAAGGUCCCAAGCGUUAUCCGGAUUUAUUGGGUUUAAAGGGUGCGUAGGCGGUCUAUUAAGUCAGUGGUGAAAGCCCCAAGCUUAACUUGGGAACUGCCAUUGAUACUGAUGGUCUUGAGUACAUUUGAGGUGGGCGGAAUGUGUCAUGUAGCGGUGAAAUGCUUAGAUAUGACACAGAACACCGAUUGCGAAGGCAGCUCACUAAACUGUAACUGACGCUGAGGAACGAAAGCGUGGGGAGCAAACAGG